rnacentral:rRNA from 1 species
UACGAAGGGUGCAAGCGUUACUCGGAAUUACUGGGCGUAAAGCGUGCGCAGGCGGUUGGUUAAGUCUGAUGUGAAAGCCCCGGGCUCAACCUGGGAAUGGCAUUGGAAACUGGACCAGCUGGAGUGUGGCAGAGGGGGUGGAAUUCCGCGUGUAGCAGUGGAAAUGCGUAGAGAUGCGGAGGAACACCGAUGGCGAAGGCAGCCCCCUGGGCCAACACUGACGCUCAGGCACGAAAGCGUGGGGAGCAAACAGGAUUAGAGUACC